UACGGGGGGGGCAAGCGUUGUUCGGAAUUACUGGGCGUAAAGGGCGCGUAGGCGGCCUGCUAAGUCGAACGUGAAAUCCCCGGGCUCAACCCGGGAACUGCGUCCGAUACUGGCAGGCUUGAAUCCGGGAGAGGGAUGUGGAAUUCCAGGUGUAGCGGUGAAAUGCGUAGAUAUCUGGAGGAACACCGGUGGCGAAGGCGGCAUCCUGGACCGGUAUUGACGCUGAGGCGCGAAAGCCAGGGGAGCAAACGGG
rnacentral:rRNA from 1 species